rnacentral:rRNA from 1 species
AUGAAGCUGGAAUCGCUAGUAAUCGCGAAUCAGAAUGUCGCGGUGAAUAUGUCCCGGGUCUUGUACACACCGCCCGUCACACCAUGGAGUCGGUAACGCCCGAAGCCUGUGACCCAACCGAAUGGAGGGAGCAGUCGAAGGUGGGACCGGUGACUGGGGUGAAGUCGUAACAAGGUACC